CUCGCUUUGAUGCCAAACAUUUAUCAGUAUGUUCAAGGGCCUUUGACCUUGUGGAAGCAAACAGUGGCAGGCUGAGCAGAUGUGUCAAGGUUUUGACUUGGACCACGAGUCUGGAAGACAAACUGUGACUCGUCCUGAUUAACGAUUGGAGGCGGUCGUGAGCAUCAGCUGGUACACACCUGGUCAGCCCCGUCAGCUUCCUUGUCUCCUUGCUGAUGGCGGCUGUAGAUCAUGGCCAGCAGCAGCAGAGCAGUCAGAGCCAGCAGCGAGAUGCCCGCUGCAAUGGCCGUCUGCGUGGCGGCGCCUAGAGCGCCGAAGGCCAUGCUGCCCAGAGCGUAGAGCGGCUCCCGACUCACGUCAGAGCCCGAGGCGGGGCCUGGGCUCCUCAGGCGGGGCCAGGCUGGCGAGUGUGGAGGGGACACCUGUGACCAGGUGGCCCAGAUGGAGGAGGAGGAGGAGUUGAUGGCGAGCUGGAAAGUGACCCUGGCCACGCCCCCUGCAUUCCACGCCUCGCACUCGUAGAAGCCGGCGUGAGCCACAGUGACGUUGCUGAGGAACAGCAUCCCGCUGCCCGUGUCGGGGUCAAAGUGCUCACUGUCACUCUUCUGCAGACUCACUCGGCCUCGCUCUGAAGGCUCCUCGGCUCUGCCUCCGCCUCUGCCUCCACCUCCCAGCUCCUGCACCAGUCCUCUGGGAGAUGGCGCCACCUUGCCCUGGGAUGCCUUCCUCCACGUGACCUGCAGGACACAGGUGUCAGUUGCUACAGGUCACAAUGAAAUAUUCCUGUGACAGGAAGUGACAUUACCUGAGGUCGUGGGUAGCCGGAGGCAUGACAAGACACCCGUAGGCUCUCACCCAGACGUACCGCCAGCCUCCUGGGCUCCAGCUGCACCAGCGGGGGGAUGCAGACUAGGCUGUUGAGCGGGACUUCCACUAGGCUCAGGUGGGACAGACGGGGCGGCUCGGAGCACGCCAUUCGACGCUCGGCUGAACUGAGCAGCCGCUGGCCCUCUUCGUCAAUCCAGUUCCUCAACCAGUGGAGGGCGCAGUCACAGCGCCAUGGGUUGUCUGGAGAGCACAGGUCCAUUUUGGACAGCGAGCACGGAAAAAAGAGAGGCUAUGUGAGGGAACCCAAAUGGUGACGCAAACAAGCUGCGCCAGGGCCUGACACAUCACCUGUGAUCCGGAGCACCUGCAGACUGACCAGCGGUCGCAGCGUGGCCGGCCCGAUGGUGUGAAGAUGGUUCCUGCUAAGGUCCAACAGAGCCAGCGAUGUCAGACCGACCAGCGCCUGGUCGGCCAGAACCUCAAUGCUGUUGUGCUGCAGGUGGAGCUCCUGGAGGCGCUGCAGAGAUACCACAGGACUUUCUAUGGUGUUCUGAAGUCAUAAAACUGAGACCAAAAAGGGGCUGGUCUGACCUGCAAGCCACGGAAGGUGUAGUCUAGCAGCCGUGUGAUAUCAUUUCCCGCCAGGUAAAGAAUGCGCAGGUGUUCCAGUCCCUGGAACAUGUCAGCCGUCACCAAGUGGAUCCUGUUCCCGUUUAGGGCCAGCUCCAACAGCUUAGCCUGGUUCUGGAAAGAGCCGGGCUCCACAGCGGAAAUGGUGUUGUUCUGGAAAGGACAGACGUCAGCUGCUUAGUUUGCAAACAAAGAUGGCGCUCAGCCUUGCAAAAAUGGGCAAUGACACAAAGUACGUAUGUGUGUGUGUGUGUGUGUGUGUUCACCUGCAGGUAGAGGUAGUGCAGGUGUCUGAGCAGAGCCAGGUCCUGACAGCGGAUCUGACUGAUCACGUUGUCCUGCAGGAAGACCGUCUGCAAGAAGACCAAUAGCAGUCACUUCAUUAGGUCCACACUCUGACAGUUUGCAGUUUGCUCUACCUAAAGAACGACAUCAUUAAGUGUUGGUGCAGAUCCAGAUAAAAGUGCAGUUAGAGGAAUUUAUUGUCUCUGGUCGGUACAGUCUGCGGUCUGUCACCCACCAGAUAGAGAUGUGGUUAAAAGCGUGUGCAUUACCGCCUCCUACAGGACUGGAAGGGUACAAUGACUGUACCUGUGUGGGUGGGGGCAAGUGUUUGGGGACGCUCUGCAGGCCGGUGGAGCCGCACUCCACCGUCAGGCUGUAGCAGCGACAGCUCGCCGGGCAGGAGGCGUAGGCAGCGGCGGCCUGGGGGAGGAGCCAGAGGAGUAGCAUGGGCAGGAGGGGCGGUGCCGUGGCAACAGCUGAUGAGGCUGAGAAGUAAGCAAGCGUUCAGAAUAGUUUUGUCACACAUGCUAACUGACAUGAUAGCAGACUUUAGAGGCUGCGUAUGAGUACAUUGCAUCUAAAUAACAUAUACAUACAUGUACUAUACAUAUACAGGAAUGUGACAGGAAGUGGCAGCAUGUGUAAGCCUGUCAAUCAGUAGGACGUGACACACGUUGUGGAUUGAGACGUUGUGGUCUUCAAAGAUCAAAUGCUUCUUGAUGGCUGACUUGGACAGAUACAGUUAUCAAAUUGGCAAUUUAUAUUUAUUUAUAUGUGCACUAUAGUGCUGCGCAUACAUACACAAAUAUAUUUGAUUAUACUGGUCGCCAGCCAAUGGCAGGGCACAUAUAGACAAACAACCAUUCACACUCACAUUCAUACCUUUGGACAAUUUAGAGUCGCCAAUUAACCUAACAUGCAUGUUUUUGGAUGUGGAUGUGGCGACCAGUCCAGGGUGUACCCCGCCUGUCGCCCGAAGUCAGCUGGGAUAGGCUCCAGCAUGCCCCCGCGACCCUAAAGAGGAGAAGCUGUAUAGAAAAUGAAUAGAUGAUAAUAUCCCAGUAUUAAAGCGAUGACACAAAAUACUAAGUGAAGUGAAGUGAAAAUUGAUACUGCAUCAUUUCGUAAACAAAUUGAUGGGCUGUAAGAGGAAGUGGAUGCCUUAAAGAAGUAAAAUGAUGAAAAGGAUGGCAUUACAGAGUGCAGAAUUGAUUAUUUGGAACAGUCUACGUGCAUGAACAAUAUGAUUGUGACUGGGCAGCAGGUGGCCAACUUUCUACACUCCCAGGGGGUGGAUGUGGUUGUCAGCAACAUCAAUACAUGCAUUCCAAUGCCUGGCAGGAAUAAGAACACCACACCUGUCAUCUUCAUAAAAUUCAACAAAUUCAACAAACAGAGAAGGCAGAGAAGCAAGCUAAAUGGAACAAACGUCUACAUCAAUGAGCAUCUGACAAAACGCAACACUGACAAUGCAAAGAAAGCACACCGCUUACGGAAGCAGAGGGAAAUUCAAGGCACUUGGAGCAUCAUUUGCAAACUCUACAACGACUUGAAAGACCAGAGGUUAACCCAAAGUACUUGUUGUCAAAGACAUCAAGGACCUGGACAAAUAUUGAAGAUACAUUAUCGACUACAAGGAAAUAAAACACUAGGUUUUUUCACUAACGAUCCGAUAUGGCAGCCUUGAAUAUCAGCCGAUACCAAUAUCAGCACGAAUCAUACAUACAAGUACUUUUAUUAGUUAUUUUGCAGUGUGGAAUGUUAGAAACGGCUUGCUCAAGUCUUAUUACUCAAACAGAAAACAAUAAUCAGCAACAGUUGGUAUGAGAAAAACGGACCCAUUUACUUCUGUUCCUGUCCAGCGUGGACCUGCACACGCACUGCUCGUACCAGAUGAUGCUGCCCGAGGCCAUCGCCAUCGUCUGCCCGCCCAAGUUCAACGAGAUCGGCUACUUCAAACUGACGGAUCGAGGAACCAAUGAGAUCUCGUCGUGUAAGCAGAAAGGCUUCCACCCUCACAGCAAAGAUCCACCUCUGUUUACACACGCCGGACACGUCACCAUCUCUGACGACACCAUCACCGUGAUGGAUUUGCGGUGAUUUUAGGACCCGCCCGCACCAGGAAACUUUGAAAGACUGUUGUACUGUACCAUGCCGGGUAUAGUUUUAUCCACAAUGUAGUGGCGGCUAGCCAUAAUAUAGCGAGGUUCGAGGUGCUCAAUGAAGCGUUUAAACCCAACUUUACUCAGCACUGGCAGGGGCCGGUCACCUUUUCUGUUAUAGCGAAUGACUUCUUGUCGCCCCGUGGGAGUUUCAUGUAACGCUGCUUCACGAACACUGCUUGGUCCUAUUAAACUUUCCGGUUCUGUGCCACCAUGGGAAGCUUGUGAAUGGCAAGUUGCACUCAGAUUCUUUUUCUGAUGUCACUCCUCCAUGCUUAACACGUUAGCACAUGCUGGUGUUGUGAUCACGGGGGCUGUGUCUGACUGCUGCUGGAUAGACGUGCUGGGGUGGGGUGUGGAAUCGAUUGCAUGUAUUGAAGUGCCAAUAUCUGAGAUUUUACACGCAGGUUGAUAUAAUCCGCUCUUUUUUUUGUGCUGAUAUGGCCCGAUAUUUCAGAUCAAUAUCGGAUUGGGACACCCCUAUAAAACACACAACACGCAAAGAGUUGAUGCAGCUUGAAGACAUCAACAAUCGACAAAAACAACUCUACAAUAAAACAGCAGAGAUUAUGCCAAACAAUAUUCAACAAUAUUUAAUUACAAAAUAAUUACCACAUUUCUAAAUAUUUAAUUAGUAAAUAAUUACUUGAUUUGUAUCUGGAAAUUACUUAUGAAUUGUGCAAUUUAGUGAAAAUGUAUAUAUUUAUUCGCAAUGCCUUGCUUUACUUAUCAUUAUUUAUUGUCCCCACUUAUUCUAACUUUCUAUAUAUGUAUUUAUUUUUUGAACGUUUAUUUGAAUUUCGAAAACAUAAUUUAUGUCUUACGUGUUUAAAUGUCAACAUGUAGCCCCCCAGGUAGCCCCCCACGACUACAUGAGGCGCCCACAGGCCUGCUUUUCAUUCAGGUUUUCAGUUAAUAAUGUGAGAACACUAGAAAGAAAAGUAUUCUGAAACAUAAAAUGUGAGUUGUGGAUACCAGCAUUUUGUGAAUGCUUUGGUAAAACAUGCAUAUUUGAUUUGUUUGGGUUGAAAUAAGGUAUGAAAAUCAUUUCUACAAAAAUGAGGAGCUCGUGGCCAUUUUCAUUUUCUAAAAGUAGUAAAAAGUAAAAAAAAAAAAACGUUGGUGACCCCUGAUGUAAUAUAUGGUGUGAAUGAAUGAUCAAUAAUAGACAUGGGGAAGGAUUGUGAUUAAACAAGAUCCGCUUCUUGCUACUCCUUUUUGGGCAUGGUGAGUUGGGCAAAUGUAACCACGUGAUGCUCGUUAAUGUAACUUGUUAAACCAUACCAUAGCACUCCUACAGGAACCACAAUCAUGACAAUAAUAAUCAUGAAACAUAAUGAAUAUAAUGAACCUAUUGUUGUUGUAUCAGCCAGUGUAAUGAUAUGCCUUCACUCUCUCUCACAUACAGUACACACACACACUAAGCCUCCAUCAGGUGAAACACACAAUGGACCACAUCAUUGUUGUGUUGUUGUUGUGUUACCUGGUGAUGGUGAUGAUGAUGAUGGAGGACGCUGAUGAGGGAGUCGACGUCUCCCCAUGCCGAACCCGCUGGAAUCUCUGCUCAUUUUCAGCAGUCGACGUUUAUUCGGGAUGCGGAGGAUGAAGCAUCGCUGGAUGUUUCCACGCUGCGCACAGCCCCGCGGGCCCGUGGCGUAGUCGGAGCGGAGGAUGGAUGAUGGAUGGGAAGAUGGAGGAGGAUGAAGGAUGGAUGGAUGGAGCGUCAGAUGGCGGCUGGCAGGAAAGGCUGCUGUCUUCCUACGCUGAGCUAAAGCGCUUUGUUGAGCCACUCAGCCUGAAUCUAUGGAGAACAUGCAAGGUUUUUUUUCACGCCUUAUUCCCCUUCUGCUGUCCAACAACUUCCUCACGCUGUUCACUUCCGCCUACAUUGUUUCCACAAUAAAAGACCUUUGUCCAAGGAACUGGUCAAACGAAAUAGACAUCUCGACUUCAAGGAAAUGAAAGACACAAAAGCCGUGCUGCAAACUUCAAGUUUUAUGACUGCUUCAAGCCAUCAACAAUUACAUCGCUUCAUCAAUAACAGAUUAUGCUCAAUUCACCAAUAUAUUUCAUUUAUUAUUUAUAUAUUUACUUUCAUUGCCAAUAGGAUAUUUCAUCUUUAUCCAUAAAUUAUUAAUGAGUGGUGCGUUUCAGUAAAAAUGUAUAUUGUAGUUAUUACUUAUUUUAUUAGUAUCCAUUUAUAUUAUGUAUUCCUUUUAUUUUUCUGACACUUUUAUUUUACCUUUUCAUUAACAGUAAGCAGGCAAUACAGUAUACACUAAUUUUUAACUUGCUAUCUUUCCUUUCCUUCAUCACUAAUCUUAUAUUCACCAUUUAUUUGUAAAUUAUGCAUUUGCCAACAUUUUUUCUCCAGUACACUAUUAAUUUAUCCUUAACAUCCUUUCAUAUUCUAACAUAUUUUAUAUUUAAUCAUAAUUCUGUUUUUAAUUUUCUUUUAGCUUUAUUUAUUAUAACUAAUUAUUCAUUUUCUUCUUUAUUAUAUUAUUUUUCUUUAUUAUAUUUAUAAAUGAUUAGUAUUAGUUAUUCUUUAUUAGAAUAUUAUUUAUAUAAUCUUUGUUUUUCUUUCAGAUUGCAUAAGCUAAGGCCGACUUUUUGCUAUUGACUCCCAUUAGAUGGUGUACUUAAUGGAGUGACCAGCGAUGCUGUCGGUUCGGUCCUGAUGCUGCAUCACCACUGAGUGCUUCCAUGGUAACGUCCUCCAUUCUCCUCAUGUGAAUGAGGUAACAAUGUAGCUUGAAAGCAGAACAUAAUGUAUGCUUUAUAAACAAAUGCAGUGCCUGCAGUAUUCCAGUGAGCUGCUAAAAAGCAUUGCAAUCAUAUUCAUUGGCAAUCACUGUUUGUGUAAUCCUGCUAAUAGAAUAGAACAGAAGAUAAUUCAUUACAUUUUUAUCAUAAAUCCAUGAUCAUUUAUUUCAACAUACACUGACACUAAUAUAAAAUAAUAUUCAUCUAUGAGAGAGUCUGUCCACAGCAGUGCAUCAUGGGAGCUGUGGCUGACCAGGAUGCCUGGCAACAAAGUUGCACCAAUGACAUCACUUCCUGUGCUCGUCACAACUUUUCAUUGGCUGCUCUCAGGUCAGCAAUGGCGUGUCACCUCCGACUGCGUUGUUCAUGUGGAAGUCUGCAGAAGAGACAGCGUGACGCCAACGCAGUCAGAAGCUACGACCUGGACUUUGUACUCUACAGCCAGAGGCGGCGCUGCACAUCCUUCUGUGGGCAUUAGGACUGACUGUGCGAGAAGACCACCGGGUAGAUAUGACUGUAGUGGUCCACAAAAUGGACCUCCAGGCCCUCAGUGAUGUAGUCCGGCAGGUCCGAGAAGUCCUUUCUGUUCUCUGCAGGCAGGAUGAUACAUGUCACUCCAGCACGACGGGCCUGGCAGGAACAAGAAAAGGACACUUAACGGACUUAACGCUUUUAAUGAGAGACAAGCAAACAUCUGAUGGUGUUACUCACAGCGAUGGUUUUCUCCUUGAUUCCUCCCACAGGGAGGAUUUUCCCAGUCAGCGACACCUCCCCGGUCAUGGCUACAUUUGGACGCACGGGCCGGCCGGUUGCCAGGGACAAUAGUGCUGUGACGAUGGUGCAGCCAGCGCUUGGUCCAUCCUUGGGGGUAGCGCCCUGGGAGGUGACAGGAAAAGACAGACCUUCUGCCUAACUUUACUGUCCUUUGAUGCAAACUAAAAGCAUACUUUUGUUUGUCUGUUUGUUGUGUGUCACCUCGGGAACAUGCAGGUGCAAAUGAGAGUUGACCAGGAAGUCGUUGUCGGGAUCUUGUUGCAUCAGGAAUGCUCUGGCGAAGGUGGAUGCGAUUUUGGCGCUUUCCUUCAUGACAUCACCUAGUUGACCUGCAAGGGAGAUGAGAGGGAGGGGCAGAUGAGA